rnacentral:rRNA from 1 species
UGCAGUCGGGCGGUAGCACAAAGGAGCUUGCUCCUUGGGUGACGAGCGGCGGACGGGUGAGUAAUGUCUGGGAAACUGCCUGAUGGAGGGGGAUAACUACUGGAAACGGUAGCUAAUACCGCAUAACGUCGCAAGACCAAAGAGGGGGACCUUCGGGCCUCUUGCCAUCGGAUGUGCCCAGAUGGGAUUAGCUAGUAGGUGAGGUAAAGGCUCACCUAGGCGACGAUCCCUAGCUGGUCUGAGAGGAUGACCAGCCACACUGGAACUGAGACACGGUCCAGACUCCUACGGGAGGCAGCAGUGGGGAAUAUUGCACAAUGGGCGCAAGCCUGAUGCAGCCAUGCCGCGUGUGUGAAGAAGGCCUUCGGGUUGUAAAGCACUUUCAGCGGGGAGGAAGGGAGCAGGCUUAAUACGUCUGUUCAUUGACGUUACCCGCAGAAGAAGCACCGGCUAACUCCGUGCCAGCAGCCGCGGUAAUACGGAGGGUGCAAGCGUUAAUCGGAAUGACUGGGCGUAAAGCGCACGCAGGCGGUCUGUUAAGUUGGAUGUGAAAUCCCCGGGCUUAACCUGGGAACUGCAUUCAAAACUGACAGGCUAGAGUCUCGUAGAGGGGGGUAGAAUUCCAGGUGUAGCGGUGAAAUGCGUAGAGAUCUGGAGGAAUACCGGUGGCGAAGGCGGCCCCCUGGACGAAGACUGACGCUCAGGUGCGAAAGCGUGGGGAGCAAACAGGAUUAGAUACCCUGGUAGUCCACGCUGUAAACGAUGUCGAUUUGGAGGUUGUGGUCUUGAACCGUGGCUUCCGGAGCUAACGCGUUAAAUCGACCGCCUGGGGAGUACGGCCGCAAGGUUAAAACUCAAAUGAAUUGACGGGGGCCCGCACAAGCGGUGGAGCAUGUGGUUUAAUUCGAUGCAACGCGAAGAACCUUACCUACUCUUGACAUCCAGAGAAGACUGCAGAGAUGCGGGUGUGCCUUCGGGAACUCUGAGACAGGUGCUGCAUGGCUGUCGUCAGCUCGUGUUGUGAAAUGUUGGGUUAAGUCCCGCAACGAGCGCAACCCUUAUCCUUUGUUGCCAGCACGUUAUGGUGGGAACUCAAGGGAGACUGCCGGUGAUAAACCGGAGGAAGGUGGGGAUGACGUCAAGUCAUCAUGGCCCUUACGAGUAGGGCUACACACGUGCUACAAUGGCGUAUACAAAGAGAAGCGACCUCGCGAGAGCAAGCGGACCUCAUAAAGUACGUCGUAGUCCGGAUUGGAGUCUGCAACUCGACUCCAUGAAGUCGGAAUCGCUAGUAAUCGUAGAUCAGAAUGCUACGGUGAAUACGUUCCCGGGCCUUGUACACACCGCCCGUCACACCAUGGGAGUGGGUUGCAAAAGAAGUAGGUAGCUUAACCUUCGGGAGGGCGCUUACCAC